GAUGAACGCUAGCGGGAGGCCUAACACAUGCAAGCCGAGCGGUAGAGUUUCUUCGGAAACUUGAGAGCGGCGCACGGGUGCGUAACACGUGUGCAACCUACCUUUAUCUGGGGGAUAGCCUUUCGAAAGGAAGAUUAAUACCCCAUAAUAUAAUGAUUGGCAUCAAUUAUUAUUGAAAACUCCGGUGGAUAGAGAUGGGCACGCGCAAGAUUAGAUAGUUGGUGAGGUAACGGCCCACCAAGUCAAUGAUCUUUAGGGGUCCUGAGAGGGAGAUCCCCCACACUGGUACUGAGACACGGACCAGACUCCUACGGGAGGCAGCAGUGAGGAAUAUUGGACAAUGGGUGAGAGCCUGAUCCAGCCAUCCCGCGUGAAGGAUGACGGUCCUAUGGAUUGUAAACUUCUUUUGUACAGGGAUAAACCUACCCUCGUGAGGGUAGCUGAAGGUACUGUACGAAUAAGCACCGGCUAACUCCGUG
rnacentral:rRNA from 1 species